UCACGAUGAGGCAAAGCUCCUAGUGACUUUAAAUUUCCAGAUAGACCAUACAACAUCACGAAUCUCCUGAGGAAUCAUUAAUCAUUACUAGAGAAACAGAAACGUCAUAAACCCUGUCCAAAGCUGGACACCAGACAUGGAGUUGCCACCGUUAGAGCUAAAUUUUAUUCUUGGCUUUCUGAUACCUAAAGUAUAUUCAGAAGUUUUUUUUUUUUUUUUUACAACAGCCUGUUUUGUUUUUAAACAUCAUAAAAUGUUUAGAAAUAUAAUUUCUCCUAUGUAAUGAAACUAAUAUACUGAAUUUUAUAGGUACAGUAAAGGAGAAUGAAAAUUAUAAAUGUAGGCCGGGCGCGGUGGCUCACGCCUGUAAUCCCAGCACUCUGGGAGGCUGAGGCGGGUGGGCACCUGUAAUCCCAGCUACUCUGGAGGCUGAGGCAGGAGAAUUGCUUGAACCCGGGAGGCAGAGGCUGCAGUGAACCGAGAUCGUGCCACGGCACUACAGCCUGGGUGACGGAACGAGGCUCCGUCUCGGGGGAAAAAAAAAGUCAGAAGUAAAACUCCCCUCUAAAAGCCUGGGGCCUUUCCAACCCAGAUAGAGAAAAAAUAUCUGGGUAGGUGGAUGGGUAGGAGAUUAGGACUGGGGCUGUAAAUAGAAAAUGAAAAUGAAAACCUCUCAUCUCACAGAACAAAAUUCAUUCAGUGAGUAGUUCACAGA
rnacentral:lncRNA from 1 species